GACGAACGCUGGCGGCGUGCCUAAUACAUGCAAGUAGAACGCACAGUUUAUACCGUAGCUUGCUACACCAUAGACUGUGAGUUGCGAACGGGUGAGUAACGCGUAGGUAACCUGCCUGGUAGCGGGGGAUAACUAUUGGAAACGAUAGCUAAUACCGCAUAAUAUUAAUUAUUGCAUGAUAAUUAAUUGAAAGGUGCAAUUGCACCACUACCAGAUGGACCUGCGUUGUAUUAGCUAGUAGGUGAGGUAACGGCUCACCUAGGCGACGAUACAUAGCCGAACUGAGAGGGUGAUCGGCCACACUGGGACUGAGACACGGCCCAGACUCCUACGGGAGGCAGCAGUAGGGAAUCUUCGGCAAUGGACGAAAGUCUGACCGAGCAACGCCGCGUGAGUGAAGAAGGUUUUCGGAUCGUAAAGCUCUGUUGUAAGAGAAGAACGGGUGUGAGAGUGGAAAGUUCACACUGUGACGGUAUCUUACCAGAAAGGGACGGCUAACUACGUG
rnacentral:rRNA from 1 species